ACACGUAGGGGGCGAGCGUUGUCCGGAUUUAUUGGGCGUAAAGAGCUCGUAGGCGGCUCGGUAAGUCGGGUGUGAAAACUCGGGGCUCAACCCCGAGACGCCACUCGAUACUGCUGUGGCUUGAGUCCGGUAGGGGAGUGUGGAAUUCCUGGUGUAGCGGUGAAAUGCGCAGAUAUCAGGAGGAACACCGAUGGCGAAGGCAGCACUCUGGGCCGGUACUGACGCUGAGGAGCGAAAGCGUGGGGAGCAAACA
rnacentral:rRNA from 1 species